CUGGCACUCAUUCUCUCUCCUGCCGCCCUGUGAAGACAUGCCUUCUGCCAUGAUUCCAAGUUUCCUGAGGCCUCCCCAGCCAAGUGGAACUGAAGUUCACAUGAACAUCCAGAUUUUGUACUUCUCUUGAAACACUGGAAGAUACAUCAACACUAGGUCCACUCCGCUGCACAGAAACAACUGGCUUGGUCCAAGCGGCAUCCUGAGUUUCCACCUGGCUAAUGAAUUUAGGGAGAAUUUUCACCACUUCUGAAUAAGUGGCCCAUGUGUUUCAAUUAUGGACAAAAUCAACAAAACACACCAGGUAUUUUCUGGAUUUUCUACAGUGAACAUGUACGAUCUUUAUACUAAAAGUUUAGUUUUUUGUAAAAAAUUAUGUAAACAACAGUACUUAUUUGGAAGUUUAAUGCAUGAAAGCAUCUCUGAAUUUGGCCUAAAUGCAAUGACCAUACUAAGUCUUUCUGACCAGACCAGCAAACCAGCAGAAUAAGCAUUUCAACCAUUCUUCAUGCUGAAUGUGAUUACUGUUCCAAGUGAUGGGUUUUAAGGGGCUUUUAAAUUCAAUUUGUGAGUACAGUUAGGCCUCCAUAAUAAUCAACCUAAUUCAACCAUUAUGUAAAUCACUGCCUCACAGAGAGGUACCCUGGUGGAGAAAGAGAAAAGACCACAAGCAAGAAUACUUAGGAAACAGAAUGCUUUGACUAAAUGAAUGUGAUACUUAACAGCAAUAAAAAAAAACCUUUAAUUCAAG
rnacentral:lncRNA from 10 species